CCCGAGAUUCCCACCACGACUUACUGAAAAUCAAGACUUUACUAAAAGCAAGAGAACUGAAACAGUGCAGAACAGACACAAGCAUGAGGUGACUCAGGCCGGCAGCUCUGCCAGAUAGUCAGUGGUCACUGGCCAAAUGCCCAGUUAGCGAUCGAUCAGCUGGGAGGCCUGACGAGCCCACGGUCUUGUUUAAAUGUUGGCGUUUGAUUGCGAGCUCAAGACGGCAAGGGGAUGAAGGGAAACAGACGGACCCAACUGGAAUUUCCCUUAUUGCAACAUGCGACUGUUGCCUCUAAUUCUUCCUCUGUGCAUCCCUGCUGGCCUUCUGCUGGCCUUCAUCACUGCCAGGGCACACUGCUGACUCAGGUGCCAAUUACAGCUUCACGGUAUCAUUUAGGUUGGAAAGCACCUCUUGAGAUCACCUUGUCAAACCCUCGCUGCUGAAACAAGGUUUCCUACCUCCGCUCUGUUGUUCACACACAAAUUUCUGGAAUGGUUUUCUCUCUAACGUCUUUUACAGAUGUCUUUAAAAUAUAAAUUGCUGCCUAAAUUUGCAUGUUUUGUCAGAGCAAGUUUAGUCAAGAGAAAGCUCACAAAAUGAUAGGUGACUCGACCCUAAAUACAUGGUAUAUUUUUUUUCUGUCUUUCAUUGUUACAAAUUUAAAAGGCCCUAUCAACUUUGUUACUUGAUACCAUUUAAAAGAAAUUGCCUGUUGAAUUUUAGAAUAGAAUUAUCCUUCAGCUUUUUAAAAGCAGUAAUGAUCUGUAGGUUCAGUAAAUCCUCACCUUUCUUCAAUCGAAGUAAUGCUGGUUUUCACUUGUUUAUGCAAAAUUUUCCAAAUACUUUAAUACAAAGGUAAGUUAUAUCCUCUGAAGUUAGUGUAGGCUUGGUAUGCAUUUGACAGAAUUUCAAAAUUUGCCAUAUAUCAAAAUGCUAAAGCUUUUCAGCUUUGGCUGCUAUAGGCAGGGCUCUUACUCUUUGUAAGUAAUGUACCCUUUUCUGAUGGCGAUGUUGGCUUAGGAAUUAUGCUAUUUUUGUUAAAAAGGACAUUUUCUUGUUUUUACUUUUCAAGUCUAGUGCAGCAAGUAAAUGUUGCUGUGAGAAAACAUUAAUGCAUGAACUACUGUUGAGUUUAUUUCAGAUGGUGGAAAAAUACGUACCUUGCUGGAGCUAUGAAACAUACUCUGAGACACAUAAUAUGAAAUUUGACUUUUAAAUACAUUUUUAGUAUUUUUUUUCUGAUCGCUGCAUACCCAUUUUUAAUUUUUACAUUUCUGCUGAAGUGAAGUCAUACUUCUGAAAACUUACAAAAAGUGAAAUACAAAACUAAUAGUUGUUUUCUACAGAUGUUCAAAACAGUCUUAUUGGAAUACUCAGCAAAUUUUUGUUAUGUCCCAAAUUAAUCUCUCACAAGAUACCUUUUUAAUAACAAAACCAGUUUUACGAAACAGCAGUACCUGAGUCCUGGCUAAGGCUGCUACCAACUAACUUUGGCUCCCUUUAGGGUUCUUCCCUCAGGAUGCUUCCGUUUCAGAUGAAAAAAACUCAACACCUUCUCCCACUAGACAAAAAAAAUAACACCUCCUUCCAUAAACCACAUUCACCCAUGUUCUAUGAUAUUACAUUUCUCCAAGAACUACUCAACAGCCUGAGAAUGUGAAAGCUGAGUAUGAGUCAAGCUUAGAAAAUUGUAGGGAAUUAAUUUUUUUUUUUUUGGCAAGAGACAAGGGAAGAAAAACAACCAGAAGAGCUGUGGGGCAAGCAGAGUGAAUCAAGUAACAUGGUCUACAAAUGAGACAGAUGACUGAAAACUCUGACUCCAAUUGACAGAAGAGAAGAAUGAUCAAUGGCAAAGAUGGAUUAGAUCCCUUGCUCUUAUUCGAGGACAUCGAUGUCCCCUCUUUGGAGAAAGAGUGCUCAACAACACCUGUGACAAUAGUAGGCCUAGAGGACUCUGCCAGAAGCAACAGGUGAACAAGAUGAGGUCCAUGGGAGGAUGCAAACAACCACAUCCUUUCUUGAACACACAGAAUCUGGAAUUAAAAUGUGUCUCAUCCAGGAACGUAUUUUACCUCCAGCAGAAGAAAAAAGAUACUGUUGACCAGGACAAAAUGUGUAAGUGCUACAUGAAGAAGAGGUUUGCAUGAAAUGUUUGGAUAACUUGGAGGGCCUUUGUUGCCCUGCUGUUCAAGAGCAGCAUCACCGACAUACACAUCAUAUGGAAGAAGGCUACUCAGUCUCCUGACCUUACAUAUAUUCAUGAUAUGGAGUGUGAUGAACUUACAGUUUCUGUAGAAUAAGUUACCAUAAUCCAGUUAAGAUCCAAUGUUUAAAAUAACUACUUACAAAGAUAAGGUAAAAGUUACCUUUGAUUUACAGCUGCACCUGUUGUACCAGAAGACUUCCAAAUGUUUGAGAAGAAAAUGUCUUUUAAGAAAAAUAUGUAGUGUAUGGUAACUAUCUAGAUUCCAGCAUUCAAGAGAGAUUUCCUGGUGAUGCACUAAUCACUACUAGAGUUUAUUUAUCUUUCUAAGAAGAAAGUACUAGUCAUCUUCAAGUGACAUUUUCUUUCAAAAAAAUGAGAAGUAAGGAACAGGUAAAAGAGUUUUUUAUACGGCAUUUUUUGAAAAACCUGAAAUAAAGCACAGCAAAGAGAAGACCAAAAUAAGCACCUGACGAACUUACAAUUUUACUCUGACUUUGCAGGAGUUUCUCGCAUUUAGUGCAGUUUAAGGAUGAGAUAAGCAGCUGAGUAAGUCCCUUAAUGAAAAUCAGUUCUACAGAUUAUGAUAGAUUCCUAAAAUCCUUGAGAAAACCAUUCUGCUGGGUUUUUAAUUUUCACGUACUCUUUCAUUUUGUUAAGAUUUCUACCGGUAAGUUUUUUCUCUUUUUAAACUUCUGCAGUCACUUGAUUUGAUAGACCUGUUUACACUCAAACAAGUAAGCAUUGCCUAAUUCUUGCAUGCUAUAUUUCUACACAUCUACAACUGCAUCCACCCACUCAAUAAGAUGAAGAUGUCAUCAUAUGAAUUUUAAUGAUAAGAACUGUAUUAUGAUUGUGGCACCAACAGCAUCAAAACACAAUUUAUACAACUGUAAUAUUUUUAAACCACUGUACCUAUUCUUUCAAAUGAAACUUCUCAUUAGAGUUUUUUGUCAUGCUUAGUCUUAUUUUCAAGAAGAGACUACUUUGACUAAAAAAAUGCAACAUCUGUAGAAUUUUAUUGCGAACAAACCCCAUUUUAAUUAUAUUUAAUUGGAUAUUGUUUUUCAGCUGUCUUCAAGAAAGAAGACUGCUGCUUCUACGUCCAUUAUCAUACACAUAGGAAGAUAACUACCCUGCCACUGAUUUUCACUUAACAUGAGAAUUUUAUUAUUUUGGCUGGAUAGUUUCACCCACUGCCUAACCACCCAUGCCUCAUCAGAAUACACGGUUGCCAAAUUCUUCUUGUACAAGUAACCCUAGGAUAUGUUUUCCUUUAAAAAUGUCAAAUUCGCUGCAUAAUUAAGGUGGUCCAUUUUACAUUUCAGAAACAUCAAGGUCAUUUGAGUAUAAGAUUUAAAUAGCCCUUCAUGGUUUCUGUUUUAUCAGCAGACAAAAGAGUUAUCCUUAUUUAGCCCUUUGCCAUCUCCAGAUUUAGAUAAUUUCUUCAUUAAUUUUCAAAGGAAACCUGCUGAUGUCCUUUUGAUAUUGUUUUCAAGAGUAUUAGAAGCUUUCUUUCUCGCUGCAUGCAAACAAUAGAAAACAGUCUCCUGUGUUCUCUAAUUCAAAUAUGAUGCUUUUGUGUUUUAAAACUGUACUAAAGAGGCUGCUGGAAAGUUUUUUCAUGCUAGUCUUCUCUGUCUGAGUGAGUGCAUUUUGUGGGCUUUUUAAAUAAGAUACCCCACAUUUAUUUUUAAUCGCAGUCCAUAACUAAGCCCACUUCCUUUAACCCAUAUUUACUUUAAGAAACAAGGAAAAUAUGUCAAGAUCUUUGAAUUAAAAUUUACCAUAACCUAAAACUUUCUUGUCAUAGUACAACUCUUCUUGUGCGAAAGUGGAAGACCAGUUUUGAAAUAAAAUUUAUAUUUUAUCAGGAUUAGGUCUUACAGUAUAUCUGCCCCUGAUUUGUGGAUCCUUCCACAGACACCUACAGGGCACCUGACCACCAGUCAGUGUACAUCCUUUAGAAAAGAUAUCACCCUCAACACACAACUAACAGAGCUCCGAGAAGCCAAAUCCAGCCCUUGAUCAACACCUGUAAAGAUCUGCAGCACAGUCUUGAUCAACUUGUACCCUGCUAAAAGGGUGGGUUUUGAUGAUUCUUUUCCUCUUAUGUUUCCUAUAUUGUUCACCAGGUCUAAUCUUAAGUCAACCUUCUUCACUGUUUGUGUACCAUACUCAUCCUCUCUUUCUUACUCCUUCACGUUUACCUCGGGUUUUCUUGUUUCCAUUCUCAAGGAGAAAAUACCUAUUUAGCAAGUAACCAUUAUAACUCCAGUAGAUUCGCAAAUCCCUAAUUUUAUCUUGCCAUACCUAAUUUUUUAAAUCUUGUUCAGUACAAAAUAAUGUUUUCACUAUCUCUCGUGAAUCACUAGCCCCUAGCACUAGUCGAAACUUCUCAUAUCUACACCUCAGCCUCCACUGCUUUCUCUGAUUUUCAUAUUUUACUUGUUUCUUACUACCUCCAAACCUGCUCUUUACAUUUUUUCUCAGAUGCAGGCACACACACAUACAUACUGAAUUAAACAUAGGUUAUCUCAUCCCACUUCAUCCUAAGGAUUAUUCAUGAGUUCAUGUUGUAUUCAUACAAGUCUUAUGAGGAGCAGCUGAGGAAAAUGGGGCUGUUCAGCCUGGAGAAAAGGAGGCUGAGGGGAGACCUUAUCACUCUCCACAACUACCUGAAAGGAGGUUGUAGCAUGGAGGGGGUUGGUCUCUUCUCCCAAGUAGCAACUGAUAGGACAAGAGGAAAUGGCCUCAAGUUGGACCAAUAGAGGUUUAUAGUGGAUAUGAGGAAAAAAAAUGAAUAGUUUCAAAAUCUCAUCCAAAUAAGGGAUUCUCUUUUGGUUUUCCCUACUUUCUGCUCUCACUCCUUACAAUACUUUCUCCUAUUCAGCAACAAUUUAGAUCUUUGUAGCUGUUAUGUCUCCAUAGAUCUGACAUUUUCUACAGUCUGAAAAACUGUAUACCCUUUUCACAAAGAAAAAAAACUUUAUACCCUUCUCCUAGGUAUUCUUGUUUCAUGCAGCUUACAUAUUAUGUGAUAACACUCUGUUCUUCACAAUGUAAGCCAUCAAAUUUUCCUUUGUCUUCUCUUUGUUUUGUUUGUAUUCUGGUGUUGGCCAUAUACACGACAAAAGAAGAGUUUCUAUAUGUUGUUAAGUGUAAGCACUUGAUACCUCUAAUGCAGACCCAUCACAAAACUGCCAGUUCCAUGGGCAUAAUCCAUGGAGCAGAUCAAAGCAGAGAUCACGAUUUCAAAAGAGGUUCGCAGUAAAUGGGAAUGAAAUUACAUCCCUGUGUGAAUUCUGUUUAAGCUAGCACUUCCAGGUUGUACACAGUUAAUAUCAACAAAAGAGGAAGAAUGCAUAUUGCAGCUUUUGCAAUUACAGCCUUGUCUCUUACACUAAAAGAAACUUCUAUGCCAUGGUAUUAGCUAUUUAACAGGUAGAAAUCUAAGUUAAGCCAUUGUCUAGGCUUUUAUUUUACAGGUACUAGACAGAGGAAUCAAGAAGGGGUGAUAUAUGUCAUGUGCCUUAGUCUUCGGAUGAAAGUGCCAUUUGAGGAACCUGUGUUUGCCCACUGACUAUAGAGAAACUUGAGACUGUUAGGAUUUGCAUCUUAAAAAACAAAACAAAGCAAAACAAAACAAAACAAAACAUAAAAUCCUUAUAUUUCUGCAUCUUAAAUUUAUAGUAUACAUCAGUGCAGGAAUUUGAAACUGUGCAUUCCAGAGUAAUGGAUGCAGUCUUUUCUUUCCACAAAAUUGCAUUCUUUCUUGUGUAAUUCAGGUCAUCUACUGUACCACUUUAGAAGUUCCCAGUCACUCUGCCUUUCAUUUUCUUCUGUGCCUCUGUUAUUGCUGACACCCUAACAGAUGAGUUAUCAUAAAUUCUCUUUUUGUCAGGUUCCUAUAUCUCUGGUCCAUUUCAGUUUUAGAAGAAAAUAAAUGAAAGUUUUCAACAGUCUGAACAGUUAAUACAUUUCUAGACAUGAUUUUCUUGUGUAGUAUCUUAUUCUAUGUACAAGAUACAUGAAAAUGGAAAACUUCUGUUUCUUGAUUGACCUUAUCUCAUCAACAAAGAUUAUGAAGUAUUUGUAACUUGGGACUUACAAGGUUAUUUUAAUAAUAUUUAAUACUGUAAUUUGCAUGAUUUUAUUUAAAAUGUCAGUAACUGUAGUUGGAAGGUUUAAAAGGCAGAAAUUAAUACAUGAACUGUGGAUUAAGUUUGAUUUAUUUAAACAUUUAAGAUAAAAUUUUCUGUCAGUUUUAGGGAGAAAUCAAUAACAUACUAAUUUUAGGCCAGGCAGGAAGAAUAAUUUACUGCAUUCUUUGACAUCCAUGACAUGUUUAUGUAGCAAUCAUAUUAUGAAAUAUAUGUAACAUACACAAUGGGCAUGCCCCACUUCCUCAAUAAAUAAAUAUACAACCAGCAUUGUCUAAUC